CUCACGUCAGGACCCAGAUGACAGACGUAGGGUGGAAUGGAUCUCUUCCUUUUUCCCAGUGUGGUCUUGCUUUGAAAUUCUCUUCCUCUGUGUUUUACUAUUAACUUGGCUUGUGUAUAUGUCUUAUUAAUGCCAAGUAGACCAGUCCAGCUUGCCAAGGUUAUCCUAGGGACACGGGCUCUGAUCCUAACUCUGGGAGCAUUCUGGAGUGUGCAGACAGGUCCACCUAACAUUCCAAGAGAACGGCAAUGCCUGAUGAGCCACUAGGCGGGUGCUCAGGACCUGAGGAUCAUCAACUUUGCUUUGCAGAAGUUUGCCCUGUUCUAAGACAUCAAGUCCAGAACCAGCACGGCACAGUCACAUGCAGCUGUAAUGGCCAGGGGAGAUGGAGGAUCCAGGGGCUAGCCUGGGCUUUACCAGUGUAUCUCAAGAAACAGGAGCACAUGCUACCUAUCUGAGACUCUGACUUGCCUCACUCCUGUGGCCACCUCUACAGAAAACCUGGGCUGGAAAAGGCUCCCAGGGGAGAAAGCCGGUCAGCCUACACAGCAGCAAACACAUAGGCCCAUCACGGGAGGCCAACUUUCUGAGUCUCGGUUUAAACCUUUGUAAUGUUCAGGAUAGAAACAGUCCAAGGGCAUGGAACCCCAGAGUGCUCGGAGAAUCACCUCUAACUCUGGAACAUAAAUCCCACUUAAUCCACAGGAUAAUCACUGCAAGCCACAUCACCCCACUUAUCACAGACACCGAAUGCCAAGCGGGAGGAAGGCUCAGCUCUGUCUUAGCUCAACGGAUUUCCAGUUACAAGACGGCCUCAGCCAGCAGCCCCUUUGCAGGAACAUCUUUAGUGCCUGUCCGCGCGUGCAGCAGGUUGCAGCGAGAGGACCUGCGUGCUCCGAGCGGACAGCCAUGCGUGUCAGUGUGUUUGACGAGCUGAGGAAAUGUUACCAGGUCUGCUAGGGAGGCGGGUUGGGACAUUUGUUUUGAAGUAAUCUUAUCUUACCUGAAAAAGGGUAGGCGUCACCUGCUUCUUGGAGAGAUGGCUCUGGACAUGUUCUACAGCUUGCUUUGAGAAUUGCUUUAAGGAGAAAAAGGGGAAAAAAAGGAAGGAAGGAAGAAAAAGAGAGAGAAAAGAAGGAAGAAAGAAAGAGAGGAUUUUUUAAUAAGGAGGUGACAUGUCUGUAGAUUACGCAUUACAACAGUGAUCCCCUAAGAGUGACCCGUGGGCUCUCUGAAGACAAUCCAAGCACAUACUGUCCUCUGGGUACCCAUAGUCCUUCCUUGGGGUGCCCAGAAUAGACCCCUCAGCAGGUCAAGGUUGCCAUGGCAACAGAGCAUCAGGAGGCCUACCACCGCCUGACUAUGUACAUAACCAUUUCCUUCCUUAAUGACAGUUCUACAGAUGUAAGCUAUCUGCUGUGUCAGAGAACACAGAUGCAGGGUCAUGCACCUAGGAAUUCAACACAAGGAUUACAAGACGGGCCACAGUGACAGAUGGCUCUGGGGCCCGGAGGUCUCACUGAGCCCCAGCAGAGGGCAAACAGGACAGAACUUCUGUCGGUGUGGGUUGCCAACUACAUCUUCCGGAAACCUUU